UACGAAGGGGGCUAGCGUUGCUCGGAAUUACUGGGCGUAAAGCGCACGUAGGCGGCUCUUUAAGUCGGAGGUGAAAUCCUGGAGCUCAACUCCAGAACUGCCUUUGAUACUGAAGAUCUUGAGUCCGGGAGAGGUGAGUGGAACUGCGAGUGUAGAGGUGAAAUUCGUAGAUAUUCGCAAGAACACCAGUGGCGAAGGCGGCUCACUGGCCCGGUACUGACGCUGAGGCACGAAAGCGUGGGGAGCAAACAGG
rnacentral:rRNA from 1 species